CAAUGCUAAAUGUGCUGCAGUGUAACCUGAAUAUAAUUUUUUUCCCUAUACUUUUAAUUAUAUUUUUAGUUCAUGUGUGCCACCAAAUUUUGAAAAGAAUAUAAAUGUACCGCAAGUGAAAAAAGGUUGUGGAACACUGCUAUAGAU